AUGUAUGAAGCUACCGAGAGAUUCUUCCGGGAAAGAGCAAAGCGUGCAGCCGAUCCCACGUCCGCCUUAUCGGACUCUUUUACGGUCAGGCUCGUGUCCAGAUUCCGACGGGGGUACGGCUUCACAAAAGCCUGCAAUGACGCCGCCCUGACUAGCUUCGAUGACAGUUUCAGGCUGUUGGCCGCUGCCCCCCAGCAGUCGCCCGAAUCCGUCAAGAGCCUGAGCGACUGCAUCGAUCCUGAGAAUUACGCCGUGGUCCUUGGCGCGGCCAAAUCAAUCACAGGGUUCAACGCAGCCACCCACCGGGUCGCAACACCUGGCGCCGUUGAUAGGUUGCUCGCUCUCCUCCGGGACGCCGUAUCGCUGAAGCGCGAGGAGACAGCCACGUCCAGUGUGCUCCCGGAGGAGAGGAAGCGAGAGGUGAUAGAGGAGUGCCGCCGCUUCGACGACCUGCUGAGCAGUACUUGGCCCGUAGACAUCGGGAAACACGCGCAGCUCACAACGCUGCAGCGACGUUGCUUCAACCCCCCAGAGAUCCCCGUCUCUGCCGACGUUCACGCCUCGUUUCGGGAGGCUACCUCGAUUGUCGCGAUGUAUACGGCUCUAUUGGAUUUCCACGUCACCAAAAAGAACUUUGUUGAGCUCAGCGCGGCAUUGCUUGCAGCCCUCGUCAUAUAUAACACGCACCGAGCCCCCGAGGUCUCGGGAGCACCUUUCAAUUUUUACCGCAACCGCCCGACCGGAGAGGCCCUCCAGAAGGAGCUCCGGGUCGUCCCCACCCUGGACCGAGCGGUCGGAAUUUGUGAUGCCGUUCUGGAGGAUCAAAGCGGACGGCCCGAGUUCUUCCUUGUUCCGGGCGGGACAAACAAGAGUCCCGUGGCCAUCAUCGUCCCCCGCUCGCUCCUCGCUGGUAUCGAUCUACUGAACGCGACCAGGGACGCCCUCGUGAUCCCACCUCCGACCGGUGGCACCGGCAAAAAUAAGUCGCAGAAGAAGGGAAAGAAGCAGCAGCAGCAGGGUGCCGAGGAGGUGGGCCAGAGUCACAUCAACGACCUGCUCUUCCCCCGUCCAGACUCCUCGCACCCGUACGAUGUGGUGCACGUCAUAGGGCGCCUUAGAGAACGAUCGCCGGCUUCAGCGUCCCGAGCUGCUAACUACGAGGACCAUAAGAACUCGGCUCGCAACUAUGGCAUCGGAGCUGCCCGAUCGCCGGCUCGCAGAAGCUCUCAACGUCCACCUAGAUCACUCGGAGACCACGAGCGCACGGUAUUACAAAUCGGCAGAUCCAACUACGGCUCCUCGGGCUUUCGCUGACGUCGACGUGCAUCGUGAUCCUCGAGAGGCAAAGCCGGCGACCCUAGGUAAGGGAGAAGAAACGCCAUCACUCAAAAAGACAGGAAUCCCGGCGGAACUCGUGCGAGACAUCGCGCAGUUCGGAGUUAACGCGGCGACGGAAAGAAUUCUCGCCUCGAUCGAAAAGGAAGUGUCGCUUCCGUAGACGACUUCAUGACUCCAUCCUACACCACGCCUUCCCCGCCGCAGACUCGCGCACGCAGAGCAUGCUCCUGCUGACUAGGGAGGCCUCACCUGUCGAUUCCUCGCCGCGGCGUCCGUCUCCACCUAGCCGGCCACAGAAGUCCGUGCAUUUCACCAAGCAGCUCGCUACCGCGCUUUACGGCCCCGCAGCCGCCAUCGGUGGCCCCCGUUGCAAGGCCCGACUUAGAUGCAGCGGCAGAAGUGGACUGGUCCUUACAUACACCGGAACGACUAUACAAUAAAAAAUCUAAGCGAGGCGCCGCAGUUGAAGGGGUUAUGGAAGUAUCCGAGCGCAGAACGGUGCUCGUAUGAACAUCCACACUGUGAGUAGGGAGAAAAAGAGACCACUUCCUAUUUUCUCAGUUGCUUUGUAUUUUCUGUGCUGUUCGGUGCGUGAUCUUUUCCAAGUUCUCUUCGUGCUCCCAAAGUGUUAAAAUGUGCUUUCCUUCGUUAACUUCUGAGGCCUCUGUUCGCGUGCCUGUACCUGUAUCGGAGGGGGGGUGAGGAAAAUGUAGGGAGUGUGGAGGUUGAGGAGGCUGUAGGGGGAGUUGAUAUUCCCGAAAACCUGUGUGAAGUAUCAGGUGUGGAUGAUUCGGAGGGGGGUGAGGAAAAUGUAGAGGGUCUAGAGGUUGGGGAGCCUGUAGGUGGGGUUUAUAUUCCUGAAAACCCGUAUGAGGAAUCGGAUGAUUCAGAGGAUGAGGAUUUGAAUCCUAUUUUAGUAAUAAGGCGUUAUGAGGAGGUGAGAGAGCGAGUGUUUUGUUUUAUUAAAUUGAGGGGUGGAACGGCUUUCCUCACACACUUAAUUUCCGAAACUUCCUCCUGGCCGUUUUCUUCUCGGAUUCGGAGAGACACUGUAAAGGCCUUAUUUGUAACAGCGUUUUAUUGUGUCUUGAGUGGGUCUAUUAUAAAUCCACAAAAAUUCAGGUGGGCAAGGCCUACUCAAUGGAGAAGAGUAAAAGAUAUUUAUUGUUCACCUUUAUGGUGGCUCUACUGGAAACUGAAACUUGGCCCUGCGCUGGGUUUCAGAUACUACAGUACACGAGUAGUAAAUUUGAUGGCAAAUGAAAUGAUUACACAUGAUGUGACAUGCAAAGUCAGGAGGUUAGGUUAGGUUUAGGGCCCGUUUGUUCUUUCUACAGACUAAACUAUCACCACUCACGUGAUGGAUGAAGCUACCGAGAGAUUCUCCGGGAAAGAGCAAAGCGUGCAGCCGAUCCCACGUCCGCCUUAUCGGACUCCUUUACGGUCAGGCUCGCGUCCAGAUUCCGACGGGGUGCGACUUCACAAAAGCCUGCAAUGACGCCGCCCUGACUAGCUUCACCUUAGAACCUUAAAACCAAAUACCACAUAUCAACAAUCGCCAGUGCCUUACUAGAUCAAGCAAGAUUAAUC
rnacentral:lncRNA from 1 species